GCUUAAUUAAAAAACAAAACAAAAAAAGCAGAUUUGUCUUUAUAGUAGUUUGUACUUUUUUUUUUUUUUUGAGAUGGAGUCUUGCUCUGUUGCCCAGACUAGAGUGCAGUGGCAUGAUUUUAGAUCACUGCAACCUCCACUUCCCAGGCUUCAGGGAUUCUCCCACCUCAACUUCCUGAGUAGCUGGGAUUACAGGCACCCACCACCACACCUGGCUAAUUUUUGUAUUUUUAGUAGAGACAGGGUUUUCACUAUAUUGGCCAGGCUGGUCUUGAACUCCUGACCUCAACUGAUCCACCUGUGUCAGCCUCCCAAAGUGUUGGGAUUACAGGUGUAAGUCACUGCACCCAGCCUAAAAAGUGUUUUAAAGAAAUAGAAUAUAUAUUAGCAGGCUUGGUGGGGUGACAUGCACCUGUGUGUGAGCCACCAUGCCCAGCCUAGACUCCUUAGUAAUUUCUUACUGAUAUGCCAUACAA
rnacentral:lncRNA from 10 species